GUACCCACGGCGGCUAAUCCGCUUCUGCGGGCUCGAAGGUCUCUCUCUUUCACAGCUGUAACACGCUCUCCUCUCCUCAAUUCUAACCUUCCAAAUCGUAAAAAAUCGCAUUCUUUGGCUGGAAUUUCUCGAGGGCUUCUUUCAUUUCAGCGGUUCUGCUUCUUAUCAUCUUCGAUCCAUAAGGAGUUCGACAAGCUAGAAAGGAUUUCCGCAAUCCGUUAUGAAUUUGAUGGAUAGGGAAGGAUUUUGAGGAAUUUUGGAUUGAUUUCUGGGAUUACAACUCUGAUCCGUCAGGAUUUGAGGGAUUCUUAGGUUUUCUCCCACAGAUCUAGUGAAUUUCUGAAGAGAAAGCUUGAGUUUAUAGCUUUUCGUGAGGGAUUCGAGGAAAAGGGAAGGGAUUUUUGCUUCCCUAUGUUCGAUCUGCAAGACAAAGGAUUCUAGGGUUUCAAUUUGAAUGGGGAGGUUUUAAGUGAGUCGUGGCAGCAACUGUUUAACUAAUCUCCUCAACACCAGCAAAGGACCCAUUGUUUGGUUGGGAAAUACCUUUUGUGGUUACUAAAACUAGACCAUGAUGGUGAUUGUUAUGGCCCUUGAUGGGUCUACCAAUGUUGUGUUGCAUUUGGUUUCCAUUGCUAGGUCUGGUGGUUGGUAGUUGACUCUUGAUGACUUUCAAAAGGAAAACAACUUCGUACAGAGAGUUGGACAUUAAAAAGAAGAGACUUAACCACCUGGAAAAAGCUGUAUAUGGACAUGACCUUGCAGAAGGAACUACAGGUGUUUAAAUCUUAAAAUUCAUCCUCUUCCCUUUUUCCUAGGGACAUAGCUCAGGCGGGAUGGGUUGGAUUGAGGGUCAACCCCAACCUGAAGGGGAUUGAACCUGCAAACCUGGCUCGCCCCGAAUUCCAAUCUGAAAUAUAGCCGAUGUCCUUUAUUCUUGACCUAACCCGACAUCAACCCAACCCAAACAUGUGAUUAUUCCCAACCCGACCUAACCUGACACAAAUUUGCUCAACGUGAACCCAACCUGAUGAUAACCUUGACAACCCGACCCAAACUUUGUUGCUUCAAUCGGAUCUGGGUUGACCUGAACCUGAGUUGCAGCCUUACUUCUACCUCUUUUCUUAUUUCAUUGGUAAUUUCCUAGAUGGCUAUUAUCAUGUAGUAAUUGCAUAGCAUUUAUUUAUUGAAAACACAAAAAGGGUCAGAAGCGGAAGCUCCGUGAACACAAACUUGCAUACCUGACUACCUGACCCAUCCACAAAUGGCGUACAGAGCGGAAGCGGUGAUCAGGUAUGGACAUGUUUCUGAGUGCAAGUUCCAGAGAGCUGUUUUUGUACAUUUGGAGAAUUUGAAAACUGAUAGAUGUAGCAAGAAAAAUCUGGCUGAAUUGAAGAAUGUGCUAAAACUGCAUGCAGAAUUCUGCUCUAGGAAUUUUUUUGGGUCUUCAUUGAAAAUUACAUUGUCUUUAUUCAUAUUAAGGGAGUAAGGCCAAAUUGCAAUGUCGAUACUCUAGGUGUGCAUGCUCAUCCUGAAUACUAAGGUAAUUCAUUGAGAAUUCAGAGGUUUGCUCGCUGGUUUUGAAGCUUCGGAUUCAACUGCAGUAAUCAUUUCAGGUAGUUUAAUCUAAACUACCUAAAGUUUAUUUCGUGAUCAAACUUUGGCUUAUACGUUAGUUUGAAUGUAAUUAUUAUCGUCAUUAAGAAUGUGAGAAUUAGCUUAUAGCUUGAAAGAUUUACCUCAUGAUUUGUGAGAAUUGAGAUAUAUAUUUUUUGUUAGCAUAGAUUUAAUUAUUGUAUCAACGUUCUUAAGAUUGCUUUUA